rnacentral:rRNA from 1 species
GACGAACGCUGGCGGCGUGCUUAACACAUGCAAGUCGAACGUGAUUUUUGUGGAAAUUCUUUCGGGAAUGGAAAUGAAAUGAAAGUGGCGAACGGGUGAGUAACACGUGAGCAACCUACCUUACACAGGGGGAUAGCCGUUGGAAACGACGAUUAAUACCGCAUGAGACCACAGAAUCGCAUGAUAUAGGGGUCAAAGAUUUAUCGGUGUAAGAAGGGCUCGCGUCUGAUUAGCUAGUUGGAAGGGUAAAGGCCUACCAAGGCGACGAUCAGUAGCCGGUCUGAGAGGAUGAACGGCCACAUUGGAACUGAGACACGGUCCAAACUCCUACGGGAGGCAGCAGUGGGGAAUAUUGCACAAUGGGGGGAACCCUGAUGCAGCGACGCCGCGUGAGCGAAGAAGGUUCUCGAAUCGUAAAGCUCUGUCCUAUGAGAAGAUAAUGACGGUAUCAUAGGAGGAAGCCCCGGCUAAAUACGUGCCAGCAGCCGCGGUAAUACGUAUGGGGCGAGCGUUGUCCGGAAUUAUUGGGCGUAAAGGGUACGUAGGCGGCCUUUUAAGUCAGGUGUGAAAGCGUGAGGCUUAACCUCAUUAAGCACUUGAAACUGGAAGGCUUGAGUGAAGGAGAGGAAAGUGGAAUUCCUAGUGUAGCGGUGAAAUGCGUAGAUAUUAGGAGGAAUACCGGUGGCGAAGGCGACUUUCUGGACUUUUACUGACGCUCAGGUACGAAAGCGUGGGGAGCAAACAGG